rnacentral:rRNA from 1 species
CUACGGGUGGCACCAGUGGGGAAUAUUGCACAAUGGAGGAAACUCUGAUGCAGCAACGCCGCGUGGAGGAUGACACUUUUCGGAGCGUAAACUCCUUUUAUAUAGGAAGAAGAUGACGGUACUAUAUGAAUAAGCGCCGGCUAACUCCGUGCCAGCAGCCGCGGUGAAUACGGAGGGCGCAAGCGUUACUCGGAAUCACUGGGCGUAAAGAGCGUGUAGGCGGAUUAAAAAGUCAGAAGUGAAAUCCUAUAGCUUAACUAUAGAACUGCUCCUGAAACUCUUAAUCUAGAAUAUGGGAGAGGUAGAUGGAAUUUCUGGUGUAGGGGUAAAAUCCGUAGAGAUCAGAAGGAAUACCGAUUGCGAAGGCGAUCUACUAGAACAUUAUUGACGCUGAGACGCGAAAGCGUGGGGAGCAAACAGGAUUAGAUACCCGGGUAGUC